rnacentral:rRNA from 1 species
AGAGUUUGAUCCUGGCUCAGGAUGAACGCUGACAGAAUGCUUAACACAUGCAAGUCGACUCGAGUCUUCGGACUUGGGUGGCGCACGGGUGAGUAACGCGUAAAGAACUUGCCUCUUAGACCGGGACAACAUCUGGAAACGGAUGCUAAUACCGGAUAUUAUGGUUUUUUCGCAUGGAGGAAUCAUGAAAGCUAGAUGCGCUAAGAGAGAGCUUUGCGUCCCAUUAGCUGGUUGGUGAGGUAACGGCCCACCAAGGCAAUGAUGGGUAGCCGGCCUGAGAGGGUGAACGGCCACAAGGGGACUGAGACACGGCCCUUACUCCUACGGGAGGCAGCAGUGGGGAAUAUUGGACAAUGGACCACAAGUCUGAUCCAGCAAUUCUGUGUGCACGAUGACGUUUUUCGGAAUGUAAAGUGCUUUCAGUCGGGAAGAAGUCAGUGACGGUACCGACAGAAGAAGCGACGGCUAAAUACGUGCCAGCAGCCGCGGUAAUACGUAUGUCGCAAGCGUUAUCCGGAUUUAUUGGGCGUAAAGCGCGUCUAGGCGGCAAGGAAAGUCUGAUGUGAAAAUGCGGAGCUCAACUCCGUAUGGCGUUGGAAACUGCCUUACUAGAGUACUGGAGAGGUAGGCGGAACUACAAGUGUAGAGGUGAAAUUCGUAGAUAUUUGUAGGAAUGCCGAUGGGGAAGCCAGCCUACUGGACAGAUACUGACGCUAAAGCGCGAAAGCGUGGGUAGCAAACAGGAUUAGAUACCCUGGUAGUCCACGCUGUAAACGAUGAUUACUAGGUGUUGGGGGUCAAACCUCAGCGCCCAAGCUAACGCGAUAAGUAAUCCGCCUGGGGAGUACGUACGCAAGUAUGAAACUUAAAGGAAUUGACGG